rnacentral:tRNA from 1 species
GGCAAGGUGGCCGAGUGGUUAAGGCGCUGGUUUUAGGAUGAUUCCACCAGUGGGAAACCGCGCGAGUUCGAAUCUCGUCCUUGUCA